ACUCCAGAAUAAGUAAGGGUAACAGGAAUUUCCUUAUCUUUUGAAGGGUCAGACUGCAUGUGGUAGGCAGAUACGAUUUACUAAAUAUAUGCCUCUAUAUUUCUCAGCUUAAACUGCAGUUAGGACUUAGAGCACAAGGUGAUUUGCAGUAGGUGUGUUUCUCCCGUCGUUCUCUCAUUCUUUCAUGGUGACCUCAAACCCACCAGCACCAAAUGGCAUAAUUAAAAAAAGGAGAAAGGCUACUUUACCCACAUCUGAUUCUAUGAUUUAACUUGAAUAAAACUUAGAUUAUCUUAGCUGAAAAUGUAACCAUUCUCAAAAAAUAGCCAUUAUCUUUUGUUUACUUCUGAGUGUGUAACAAAAGUGUUUGGUCUUGCAUUUAAGGACGAUUGCUUUUCACUUAUAGUUGUCACCUUAUAGACUCAAAUUUGCUCACCAUUAGAAAAAAAUCUGAUAAAACUGUGUAACUUAAUUAUGUAUUAUUAUUCUAUUUGACAUUUAAACUAAUUUGGAGACAUAUCCACCUUUUAUAUUGUUAACAUAAAUAAAGUAAAUAUGUAGCAAUUUAAAAGAAAAAUCUAUUAUGUAGUUCAUUGUAAAAUAUCCAAAGCAUGUUGUGAACUUUUAAGAAAGACA
rnacentral:lncRNA from 10 species